UACGUAGGGUGCGAGCGUUGUCCGGAAUUAUUGGGCGUAAAGGGCUCGUAGGCGGUUUGUCGCGUCGGGAGUGAAAACUCAGGGCUUAACCCUGAGCCUGCUUCCGAUACGGGCAGACUAGAGGUAUGCAGAGGAGACUGGAAUUCCCGGUGUAGCGGUGAAAUGUGUAGAGAUCGGGAGGAACACCGGUGGCGAAGGCGGGUCUCUGGGCAAUUCCUGACGCUGAGGCGCGAAAGCGUGGGGAGCAAACGGG
rnacentral:rRNA from 1 species